rnacentral:misc_RNA from 1 species
GUGGGGACUCGUCCCUGUCGAGAUAGCACCCUUUGUCUAUGAGUACCUUUGUUUCCUCGGCGGGCUUGCCCGCCAACGGGGACCACGCAAACCCUUUGCAAUAGCAGUGACUUCUGAUAACAAACAAAUAUUAAAACUUUCAACAACGGAUCUCUUGGUUCU